GUAGCUCAUCUGGUAGAGCAACGGACUGAAAAUCCGUGUGUCGGCGGUUCGAAUCCGCCCCUGCCCA
rnacentral:tRNA from 1 species